CGGGCGCCAUUUUGGGUCCACGAAGUAUGUGUGAGUGUGUGUCGUACGAGAGCGGCAGUCUGUAUUGGUCUUUCAGUCACGGUGACACUACGAGAAAAGCGACUGUGUAAAAUAGGAGGUAGUGUAAAAUUUGUGGAAGGAAGAAAAUAUUUAGUUCGAAACGGAAAUACAUUAAUAAUGCCAGCUUGUUGUGCAAAGAAUUGUCGUAAUCGUGCGGAACAAGGAUUUCGUUUAUUUAGAUUUCCUCGCGAUAAACAGCGUAAAGAAAUUUGGAGCAAGCAAUGUAAUACAUAUCCGAAAGAGAAUUCGAGGUUAUGUGAGUUUCAUUUUGACGAUUCACAAUUUGAAGGUGGGCGGCAGGAUGGAUGGCACACAUUAUAACCCAAUGCUAUUCCUACUAUUUUUGUAAAUGAGGAAAUUGUUACUGAAGGUUUACGAGAUGAAACUGAAUCUUCUGCAACUAUUUUUUCUGAAGAAAGUUUACGAGAUGAAAUUGCAUCUUCUGCAACUAUUUUUUCUGAAGAAGGUUUACGAGAUGAAACUGAACCAAUUGCAACUAUUUUAUUUGAAGAAAAUGUUA